GCAGAUGUGGCUCAGUGGUUGAGUACUUGCCUAGCACACGAAGCCCUGGGUUUGAUCCCCAGCACUCUGGA
rnacentral:tRNA from 1 species